AAUUUUCACAUUCGAAGCUGCCAUGUUGUCUGCCAUCGAACCUCCUGCCAUCACUGGAGAUGGUGAAAUGAAUGAAAUACGGGAAUUAUCUGUAAACAAGGUUAAAAAAUACACUGUCAAUGGAGUGUUUAUCUGUAAAAAAAAAAUCAACGGCUGAACUGAGGACGAAUCUGAGUGAACGAAUCGAGUGUUGACAUCCCCUGCACCAUCUGCAUGAGCACGUUUUUGAAAAAUAGGUCUGCCCUGGGUUACACAGACCUGAAGAAAACCAUGAAAAAAGCUGUCACUUUACUGAUUAAAUGAAUGAUGGAACUGGCAACCAAAAAAGAAUGAUGACGUAAUUUGUUUAAGAUUAUGGAGAGGAACAUAUACACAACAGUGCUGAAUUCCAAUGUGGAUAUUGUUGUGAAUUCCAAUGUGGAUAUUGUUGUGAUAUUCUGAUAGCUGUUUUUGUGAUUGUUUAUGUGUGAAAUCAGAAUGCCCACGAGGCUGUCAAAAAAAGGACUUUUGGAAUACCUAGGACGAAUGCCUUGAUCAGUCGUAAUACAGCAAGUGGUUGUGCAGGACUUGUGAACUAUAUGGUUUGAGCUUUGCUUACGGUAAACAGUAAACUUUUGUCCAUAUCCGUCUGUGCGCGUUGUGUCAAUCCAUCUGUGCGCGUUGUGUCAAUCAAACUACAGUACAUGUUAUUCUGCAGCAAUAAAUUGUCACUGAUUGGCUGAGUACUUUUAGUCAAGUUUCAUCAUGAUUUGUUCAUCAUAUUUGUGUUUAUUGUAUUUAUGUGUUAAAUUUAAAGAUUAUUAAUUUUAACUGGCGUCCUUUAUAAGCAUGUUGAAAUUCCAGUUUCAGGUCUCUAAUAUUAUACAUUAUAUUUUUAAUUCAAUACUUAUUUUGUGCAUGUUACAUUGAAUGAUAUAAUUUUUUUACUUCUGUAAUAUUGUGUAAUCACAAACUGUUUUUUAUUUUUGAAAGUCCAAAUUUAAUUUAAUGCGAAUUGCCGAAAUGUUAGUCUUGUUGUAACCUUUUUGCAUCUUUAAAAAAAUAAAACUGUAAUGGC
rnacentral:sRNA from 1 species